rnacentral:rRNA from 1 species
AUUGAACGCUGGCGGCAGGCCUAACACAUGCAAGUCGAACGGUAACAGGAAGAAGCUUGCUUCUUUGCUGACGCGUGGCGGACGGGUGAGUCAUGUCUGGGAAACUGCCUGAUGGAGGGGGAUAACUACUGGAAACGGUAGCUAAUACCGCUUAAUUUUUCAACAGCAAAGAGGGGGACCUUCGGGCCUCUUGCCAUCGGAUUAUCCCGGAUGGGAUUAGCUAGUAGGUGGGGUAACGGCUCACCUAGGCGACGAUCCCUAGCUGGUCUGAGAGGAUGACCGGCCACACUGGAACUGAGACACGGUCCAGACUCCUACGGGAGGCAGCAGUAGGGAAUAUUGCACAAUGGGCGAAAGCCUGAUGCAGCUAUGCCGCGUGUAUGAAGAAGGCCUUCGGGUUGUAAAGUACUUUCAGCGGGGAGGAAGAGAGUUAAGUUUAUACCUUUGCUCAUUGACGUUACCCGCAGAAAAAGCCCCGGCUAACUCCGUG